UGCAGUCGACGAUGAACCACUUCGGUGGGGAUUAGUGGCGAACGGGUGAGUAACACGUGGGCAAUCUGCCCUGCACUCUGGGACAAGCCCUGGAAACGGGGUCUAAUACCGGAUACUGACCCGCUUGGGCAUCCAAGCGGUUCGAAAGCUCCGGCGGUGCAGGAUGAGCCCGCGGCCUAUCAGCUUGUUGGUGAGGUAAUGGCUCACCAAGGCGACGACGGGUAGCCGGCCUGAGAGGGCGACCGGCCACACUGGGACUGAGACACGGCCCAGACUCCUACGGGAGGCAGCAGUGGGGAAUAUUGCACAAUGGGCGAAAGCCUGAUGCAGCGACGCCGCGUGAGGGAUGACGGCCUUCGGGUUGUAAACCUCUUUCAGCAGGGAAGAAGCGAAAGUGACGGUACCUGCAGAAGAAGCGCCGGCUAACUACGUGCCAGCAGCCGCGGUAAUACGUAGGGCGCGAGCGUUGUCCGGAAUUAUUGGGCGUAAAGAGCUCGUAGGCGGCUUGUCACGUCGGUUGUGAAAGCCCGGGGCUUAACCCCGGGUCUGCAGUCGAUACGGGCAGGCUAGAGUUCGGUAGGGGAGAUCGGAAUUCCUGGUGUAGCGGUGAAAUGCGCAGAUAUCAGGAGGAACACCGGUGGCGAAGGCGGAUCUCUGGGCCGAUACUGACGCUGAGGAGCGAAAGCGUGGGGAGCGAACAGGAUUAGAUACCCUGGUAGUCCACGCCGUAAACGGUGGGCACUAGGUGUGGGCGACAUUCCACG
rnacentral:rRNA from 1 species